rnacentral:rRNA from 1 species
CCUACGGGGGGCAGCAGUGAGGAAUAUUGGUCAAUGGACGAGAGUCUGAACCAGCCAAGUAGCGUGAAGGAUGACUGCCCUAUGGGUUGUAAACUUCUUUUAUAUGGGAAUAAAAUGGUCCACGUGUGGGAUUUUGUAUGUACCAUAUGAAUAAGGAUCGGCUAAUUCCGUGCCAGCAGCCGCGGUAAUACGGAGGAUCCGAGCGUUAUCCGGAUUUAUUGGGUUUAAAGGGAGCGUAGGUGGAUUGUUAAGUCAGUUGUGAAAGUUUGCGGCUCAACCGUAAAAUUGCAGUUGAAACUGGCAGUCUUGAGUACAGUAGAGGUGGGCGGAAUUCGUGGUGUAGCGGUGAAAUGCUUAGAUAUCACGAAGAACUCCGAUUGCGAAGGCAGUUCACUGGACUGCAACUGACACUGAGGCUCGAAAGUGUGGGUAUCAAACAGGAUUAGAUACCCCAGUAGUC